AGCAGCCGCGGUAAUUCCAGCUCCAAUAGCGUAUAUUAAAGUUGUUGCAGUUAAAAAGCUCGUAGUUGAACUUCGGGGUUUACCCAUUGGUCAGGCUUAAUUGUCUGUACUGGUGAGAUGAAUCUCUACCUUCUGAGGAAUUUUCAUGCCAUUUAUUUGGUGUGAUGGGAAAUCAGGACUGUUACUUUGAAAAAUUAGAGUGUUUAAAGCAGGCUAACGUCUGAAUACAUUAGCAUGGAAUAAUGAAAUAGGACGGACUGAUUCUAUUUCGUUGGUUUCUAGGAUCACCGUAAUGAUUAAUAGGGAUAGUUGGGGGCAUUAGUAUUCAAUUGUCAGAGGUGAAAUUCUUGGAUUUAUUGAAGACUAACUACUGCGAAAGCAUUUGCCAAGGAUGUUUUCAUUAAUCAAGAACGAAGUUAGGGGAUCGAAGCGAUCAGAUACCGUCGUAGU
rnacentral:rRNA from 1 species